UUCAGUGGUUAGUGUAUGUUUAUGUGUGUGUGUCGACACCCAAGGAGAACAAAGAAGAAGGUUCUCCCAAACACUCUAAAAUCCAGAAAUUUAAGAAGGAUUUGAAGCUAAAUCAAUGCAUGAAUGAAGAAUCCUUACCAUCUCAUGCUAAUGAACAUGUGUAUAGGGAUAAUGUCAAGAUGGAUGGAAGCAUGGAAGGCUAACGGGUCAAAAGGAGGCGAGGAAACGAAUACGAAUACGGACACUUAAGGCUAGUCAGAUAUUCAUGAUGGACAAGUGAACGAGGGUCGAGUUGAAGGUCAUGGAUUGUACGGGAAAACGGUCACGUUGUUUGCAAUUAUUUGUUAACAUAGUAACAUUAAAUAAAUGAUGAAUGAUGUAUUUAUGUUAAAAGGGUUGACCUAAACGGUAUUCAAGUAUGUUAGAGUAGUUAAAAGAAAGAAAUUUUACGGUUCAUUUUCCGCUGCGUCGUUUUGGGUUAAAUCAUGAUUACGGUCUUACAUUGCAACAGUUUUUGUAAAAUACAUGUUGCACUUCCUGUAAAUUGCAUAAUAAAGGAUGGAAUUUUGAAAAUUGA